ensembl:snRNA U1 U1 spliceosomal RNA
AAAAAUACUUGAUUGGCCGGGAUGAGGCUGGUUGUGCUGACGCUUGUGAAUUCCUCAAAUGCAGGAAUCUCGACUAUAUAAUUUCUGGUAGAGGGGGACUGCGUUUGCUCUCUCCCCUG